rnacentral:rRNA from 1 species
UACAGAGGGGGCGAGCGUUGUUCGGAAUUACUGGGCGUAAAGGGCGCGUAGGCGGCCAACUAAGUCAGACGUGAAAUCCCUCGGCUCAACCGGGGAACUGCGUCUGAUACUGGAUGGCUUGAGUUUGGGAGAGGGACGCGGAAUUCCAGGUGUAGCGGUGAAAUGCGUAGAUAUCUGGAGGAACACCGGUGGCGAAGGCGGCGUCCUGGGACCAACACUGACACUGAUGAGCGAAAGCCAGGGGAGCAAACGGG